AUGUGUAUGAGUGUGGGCCAUUCUCUGAAGCAUGGCGAGACUACGAACAUUACACCUUCAAAAAAGAGUGAUUUUUUUUCCUUCUUCAACAGCUAUCAACUGGUCAUAGUCCUCUGCAUGGAGGAGGACCCACCUAGAGCACCUUCCCAUUUGUGUGAGAACUUGACUGACUUAGUUUUAUGGGUGAGCCAAGGAAAGCAGGUGGAACAGAAUUCUUCUACCCUGAGAGUCCAGGAUGGAGCCAGCGCCGUCAUCAACUGCACAUAUGUAGACAGAACCUCGUACAACUUCUUUUGGUAUAAACAAGGACUUGGAGAGCAUCCUAAGCUCAUUGUUGACAUUCAUUCUAAUAUGGAAAGAAAGCAUGAUGAAAGCCUGAUAGUUUUACUGGAUAAGAAAGCCAACCACUUCUCCCUGCACAUCACAGAUGCCCAGCCUGAAGACUCUGCCAUGUAUUUCUGUGCCACAGAUACACACUGCUCCCCAGGCACCUGCAGUCUGUCCUCUAACCAGUCAUAGAGCCUGGAGCCCCAUCCACAUCCUGGGUCACAGGUUUCCAAUGGAGAAUAUGCCAGUUGUUAGUGGGCAAGUGCCAACUAUAAUGCUGACAUUAAAAACACAAAAUAAGAAAGUUAGCUUCAAGUAACUGAAGAAUUUUGGACAAUUUUUUCCUUUGUUUUCAAAAAGUAUUUUAAUAUUUGAAACACAAUUUUGUUAUUCUCUUUCCCUGGUUAUAGUACUUAACUGAAAUCACAGAUAAUCGGAACUCACUGCUUUUCAGAGAAGAAGAUGCUGUCGAACACUCAGCCCCCAGAUGGCAGAUCUCCAUCACACAACCUCCUCCCAAGGUCAGAGGUCACUGAGGAAGAGGGGAUGGGAAAAAUGUCAGAACCAUAGGUGGGGGAUGACUACAAGGAGACGGUGUUUUCUGGACACAGCAGGGCAGCUGCACACAUGAACUCACAGAGGUUUACAGCACACAUAUAUUUUGCAAAUAACCAGGUCAGACAAAAUUUGAUCAAGACAUAAAGGUGCUCAUUCCUACCUUUAACUAAGAAGCUUUGUGAAGUUGGUAGCUGCUGGGAGAGAAACUCGGGUUUCUCUCAAGGUAAAUCUCCUAGUGCAUAGACCUCCCUCCAGUGAAGGCCACUCUUCCGAGAGUAUAUGGGUAGCACAUCCUGUAAUGCAAACUUUGAUGCAUUUUAUUUUUUAAAUGGGUGAACAAAACUGGGUUUGUAGUGAAGAGUGGAUGGGUCUGGCAGGAUUGAAGGAAGU